GAUGAACGCUGGCGGCGUGCCUAACACAUGCAAGUCGAACGGAAAGGCUCCUGCUUGCAGCGGUACUCGAGUGGCGAACGGGUGAGUAACACGUGGGUGAUCUGUCCCGCACUUCGGGAUAUGCCUGGGAAACUGGGUCUAAUACCGGAUAGGACGAUGGUUUGGAUGCUAUUGUGGAUAGUUUUUCGGUGUGGGAUGAGCUCGGGGCCUAUCAGCUUGUUGGUGGGGUAGUGGCCUACCAAGGCGUCGACGGGCAGCCGGCCUGAGAGGGGGUACGGCCCCACUGGGCCUGAGAUACGGCCCAGCCUCGAAUGGGAGGCAACGGUGGGGAGUAUUACACAAUAGGCGCGAGCCAGGUGCGACGACGCCGCGUGGGGUAAGACGGGCUUCGGGUUGUAAACUACUGUCGCUUGGGACGGAGCGCAAGUGACGGUACCUGGAGAAGAAGCACCGGCUAACUACGUG
rnacentral:rRNA from 1 species